UACGGAGGGUGCAAGCGUUAUCCGGAUUCACUGGGUUUAAAGGGUGCGUAGGUGGGUUGGUAAGUCAGUGGUGAAAUCCCCGAGCUUAACUUGGGAACUGCCAUUGAUACUAUCAGUCUUGAAUACCGUGGAGGUCAGCGGAAUAUGUCAUGUAGCGGUGAAAUGCUUAGAUAUGACGUAGAACACCAAUUGCGAAGGCAGCUGGCUACUCGGAUAUUGACACUGAGGCACGAAAGCGUGGGGAUCAAACAGG
rnacentral:rRNA from 1 species